rnacentral:rRNA from 1 species
GACGAACGCUGGCGGCGUGCUUAACACAUGCAAGUCGAACGGAAAGGCCCUGCUUUUGUGGGGUGCUCGAGUGGCGAACGGGUGAGUAACACGUGAGUAACCUGCCCUUGACUUUGGGAUAACUUCAGGAAACUGGGGCUAAUACCGGAUAGGAGCUCCUGCUGCAUGGUGGGGUUGGAAAGUUUCGGCGGUUGGGGAUGGACUCGCGGCUUAUCAGCUUGUUGGUGGGGUAGUGGCUUACCAAGGCCUUGACGGGUAGCCGGCCUGAGAGGGUGACCGGCCACAUUGGGACUGAGAUACGGCCCAGACUCCUACGGGAGGCAGCAGUGGGGAAUAUUGCACAAUGGGCGGAAGCCUGAUGCAGCAACGCCGCGUGCGGGAUGACGGCCUUCGGGUUGUAAACCGCUUUCGCCUGUGACGAAGCGUGAGUGACGGUAAUGGGUAAAGAAGCACCGGCUAACUACGUG